AUAUAUAUAUUUUAAACCUUCUAUCAUUUGUCUGCAUCUACUUUACAGUCAAAAUAAAACACAGAAAAGGUAUAAAAACAUGCAAAUGUGUCUGAAUUAUUAAAACACAGAACUUCAGAUCUCUGAUCUUGAAGUAAAAGCAGCAUCGGGACAAACAUCUACUGUUCUCUGAGAGGUGUGUGUGUGUGUGUGUGUGUGUGUGUGAGUGUGUGAGAUCACUGAGCUCUGACCCCGGUGUGUCUGAGGGCGGCUCCAUCUGUCUAAUGGCAGCGUUCGGAGGAAGUUGUGUGUUUUAUGGUGAAGCGUGGAGCUCGCGGUUGAAAGGUCGUCCUGGGCUUUGGCUCAAGGCCACGCUGAAGAACAAACUCUUUCAGACCUCGUUUUCUUCUCCCCUGCGGAGCUCCUGUGCUGGAUUUUUUAUAUUUAUUAUUUAUAUAAUUUCCUAUAUGUUAAUAAACCAUUUAAAGCCAUUAUUUAUAUGAAUUAGUGGACUUUCUAAUACCAAGGGCUGAAAAAUCUAAAUUGAUGGAGGGUUGAGGGCCAAAAAUGGAUGUUGCAUCGCAUCAGAAUAUAUUCAAUUGUGCUGCAUUUUAUGAAAUAAUUAGCGUCUAAUUCAAGAUAUUAUUAUUGUUAAUAAUUGUACUUCAAUGCAUGUUAUUUCCUCCUUUUUUGUUUCCACUUGGGGCACAGCUAGGCAGGCUAAAUCAAAGGUCAGCAGGGGUCAACUCUUAGCAUCUCUGGUAUUGAGUGAAUGGUGUUCAACACCUUCAGUUCUUUCAUCUCGGCUGGAUUGUGUCGCUGAUGCAUGCUGGGAUUGCGGUCUGCUUUGGACCAUUACGGCUCUCGUAAUUAAGAAACAGACUUUGAGUCCGCUGGUUUUGUAAGGAUGCAUUAAACCGAUCGAAAGUGACAGCAAAGACAUUUAUAAUGUGGCCAGGGUUGCCAGGUUUAAAACAAUCCCACAGAGCCACCGGAGACUGCGACAAAACAUUUCUAUUUCAAGUAAACGCUUUCAUCCUGAAAAAACUAAAUGCAUCACAGUUUGACAGAAACAUCGAGCAGCUCAGCUCUUUUCAGCACUGAUAAUAAUCAGUAUAUUAGAGCGAUUGAUUGAGUUGUUCUGUGAUGAAUGCUGAUCUGCUUCUCUCUCUACAGCAUGGAUGUUCAGGGAGACUAUGACCCCUGCGACGCCUCUGGAUUCAUCCGGGUCAACGCCGUCAGGCUUCGGGAACACAACCGUCUGCAGGGAGAAGCCCUGAAGAAGUCCUGAAGAAGCCCUGAAGAUCUGAUCCACGUCAUUCAGUCACCUGUUUCUGAGCGUGUACCGGUCUCUGAAGAAAUCUGAUUAAACACCAAACCCAUA